rnacentral:rRNA from 1 species
UACAGAGGGUGCAAACGUUGUUCGGAUUUACUGGGCGUAAAGCGCGUGUAGGCGGUCGUGCAAGUCGGAUGUGAAAGCCCAGGGCUCAACCCUGGAAGUGCAUUCGAUACUGCAUGGCUAGAGUCCCGGAGAGGGUGGUGGAACUCUCGGUGUAGAGGUGAAAUUCGUAGAUAUCGAGAAGAACACCGGUGGCGAAGGCGGCCACCUGGACGGUGACUGACGCUGAGACGCGAAAGCGUGGGGAGCAAACAGG